AUUAAACGCUGGCGGCAUGCCUUACACAUGCAAGUCGAACGGCAGCACGGGGGCAACCCUGGUGGCGAGUGGCGAACGGGUGAGUAAAGCAUCGGAACGUGCCCUGGAGUGGGGGGAUAACGUAGCGAAAGUUACGCUAAUACCGCAUAUUCUGUGAGCAGGAAAGCAGGGGAUCGCAAGACCUUGCGCUCUGGGAGCGGCCGAUGUCGGAUUAGCUAGUUGGUGGGGUAAAGGCCUACCAAGGCGACGAUCCGUAGCGGGUCUGAGAGGAUGAUCCGCCACACUGGGACUGAGACACGGCCCAGACUCCUACGGGAGGCAGCAGUGGGGAAUUUUGGACAAUGGGCGAAAGCCUGAUCCAGCCAUGCCGCGUGAGUGAAGAAGGCCUGGUGUAAG
rnacentral:rRNA from 1 species